rnacentral:rRNA from 1 species
GACGAACGCUGGCGGCGUGCUUAACACAUGCAAGUCGAACGGAAAGGCCCUGCUUGUGUGGGGUGCUCGAGUGGCGAACGGGUGAGUAACACGUGAGUAACCUGCCCUUGACUUUGGGAUAACUUCAGGAAACUGGGGCUAAUACCGGAUAGGAGCUCCUGCUGCAUGGUGGGGGUUGGAAAGUUUCGGCGGUUGGGGAUGGACUCGCGGCUUAUCAGCUUGUUGGUGGGGUAGGGGCUUACCAAGGCUUUGACGGGUAGCCGGCCUGAGAGGGUGACCGGCCACAUUGGGACUGAGGUACGGACCAGACUCCUACGGGAGGCAGCAGUGGGGAAUAUUGCACAAUGGGCGGAAGCCUGAUGCAGCAACGCCGCGGGCGGGAUGACGGCCUUCGGGUUGUAAACCGCUUUCGCCUGUGACGAAGCGUGAGUGACGGUAAUGGGUAAAGAAGCACCGGCUAACUACGUG